GUGGACAAGACAAUCAUUUGUAGGCUAUGGGCUACUCAUGUUAAAUUGGCAACAGUAAUUCAACACGAUGGAUCGGAUGCUUGAGUAAAAAGAGGAUUACACACAAAACACAUUUAGUCUCCGUAGCAAAUUGACAUACAUUUGCUACGAUGGGUUUGUGUCACAUCACACAGGUAGCUAAAUCGUAUUUUUUAUUUGGUUACGAGUGAGUAAGUUUACAUGCACAGUAAUAAUUUCACAUUAAACUGACUAUGACACUAUUAAGCAAUAGUCAUGUAAACACCUUACUGGUUAUUUUAAUCGGGGAAAGUUAAAAUCGAAGUAAGCAUACGCUGAUUAAAACACCUGGUUUUCUAAGCAAUCUUUCUAAUUAUUAGGACAUGUUUGGAAAAGCCUGAUUUACCGUGGAGCAAUUACAAGUUGCGAAAACCCUAUAUUAAAAAUAAGCAGAUAAUAGCAUGCCAAAAGCGCGGUCGCAGUCGGAGGCGAAAUUACGCGCAUCCAAGGCUGUUUUUGGUUUCACUUCCUCAAAGAACCAGUACUGUGUUCAGUGUUUUUUUUCUCCUGACAUUGUUUGAGACAGGACUAGAUUCCUUUUCUAACAGUCCUGGAGAAACGUUUUGUUAUUAUCAUGUCAUGCGCUAUUUAAUGGUUUAAUAACCAAGACUGGAAUUUGUUUUUGGGAGAGCUGUGGUUCCCGAGUUUUUCCGCCGCGGACUAGGACAGCGCGGCUAAGAACAAUGUUAUCAAAGGUUCUGACGUAAAUACAGGCAGCUGAAGCCAUGUAUAUUAUGGACUCCAGUGCCGAGGAAGCCCGUGCUGGACUAACGGGCCAUGUGUCCACUGUCCAAAUGCUCACCUUGCACCGUGAGCUACUGGUUUCCCAGGUGAAGAGCACGCAGUGCAUUAUGGAUAACCUCCUACAAAGUGGUUUUCUGUGUAUCGAGGAUGCAGAAAUCAUCCAGCGCGCAGCCACCAAGACAGACCAGGUGCGUAAAAUCCUGGAAUUGGUCCAAAGGAAAGGGGUGCAGGCAUGUGAAUACUUCCUAUAUAUUCUCUACAAAGUUUAUGAUGCAUACAUAGACCUCCAACCAUGGCUUAAAGAGAUCAACUACCAGCCACCAGACUUCGUACGGGACAUACCAGUGAAGAACACGGACCCUAUUAGUAGGUACUGUGAGAAGCUGAGGCACGAGCUGGGCCGAGACACACGCUUCAUUGCCUCCUACGCCCAGCAAGAGGAAACCCUGUUGGAGGAGCUCUAUACAGACACCCUGAUGGAGCUCCUGAAUGACCGCAAUGAGAGCCUGGGCCACCUAGAGGGUCUGGAGCAGCUCUUGGGAGAGCAGGGUGUCUUUAACUCACAGGCAGAGACGGUGCUCGUCACGGGAGACGCUGGGGUGGGCAAGUCCAUCCUCCUCCAGAAGCUCCAGAGGCUGUGGUCCAAGAGGGAACUGGAACAGACAGACGCCAUGUUCUUCUUCAAGUUCCGCUGUAGGAUGUUCAGUACAUUCAAGGAGACAGACGAGAUCUCACUGAGGGACCUGCUUUUCAAAUACAACUGCUACCCCGACCAGGAUGCGGAUAAUGAGGUGUUCAGCUACAUCCUCCGCUUCCCUGAAAAGGUUCUCUUUACGUUUGACGGCUAUGAUGAGAUCCAGGCUGAUCUGGACCUGGUGAAUGUGCCUGAGGUGGUUUCUCCAGAGGAGAGGACUCACCCCCUUCUGGUGCUCAUUAAUCUGCUCUGUGGGAAGCUGCUCAAUGGUUCCCGGAAGGUCCUGACGGCUCGGACAGGCACCGACGUCCAGAGCAGGGUGAUCCGGAAGAGGGUGGCGCUGCGUGGGUUCUCUCCGGCCCACCUUCAGACCUACACCAACCUGCACUUCAAGGAGCAGGAGCACCGGAACCUGGUCUCAGUCCAGCUGGAUGCCAGCCCCCACCUCUGUGGCCUCUGCUCCAUCCCCCUCUUCUGCUGGAUCGUCUUCAGGAGCUUUAAACACCUGCACUCAGUCUACGACGACUUUGAGUUGCCAGAGGCUUGCGUGACCCUCACUAACAUAUUCCUUCUGCUGUCUGAAGUCUUCUUCAGCCGGGGGGCCGCUCCCCCACCUGUCCUCCUGAAGAGAAACACCAGGUGCCCCGCUGAUACCUUCAGGGCAGGACUGAGGCCACUCACUGCCUUCUCCAAGCUGGCUCUGCUGGGCAUGGAGAGAGGAGGCUUUGUGUUCGACCAGGAGGAGGUGGCCUCCUGUGGCCUGACUGACGAUGACCUUAAGGUGGGUUUCCUCCGACCGGUCAGCUGCUACGAUGCAUGUGAAAACCCUUCCACCUUUGAGUUCCUUCACCUCACCCUGCAGUCCUUCUUGGCUGCAUUCUCCCUGGUUCUGGAUGAACAGGCCAGCGUAGGAAACAUCCUCAAGUUCUUCACCGAGUGCAGCAGGAGGGGCAAUACUUCUUGUUUAUCGUGUGUCGUCCACUGCAUCGGUGGCUCCUCCAAACCCAGGGGAAAGGAUCCGUUCAAGACCAACGAGCAUCUCCAAUACGCCAACCUCUUCCUGUGUGGACUGCUGUCUAAGGCCAACGCCAGCUUGCUGGAGCACAUGGUUCCUGCAGCGCUACUGAAGAGGAAGCGGGCGGUCCUCAAGUCCUACCUGUCCACCAGCGUGAGGUCCCACCUCCGCGGUUUGCCACUCUACAGCACAGAGCAGGAGGGCAGCAAGGUGCAUGUCCUGCCCAACUUCCUGUGGAUGCUGCGCUGCAUCUUCGAGACAGGAAGUAAAGAGGUGGCACAGCUGACUGCGAAGGGAAUCACAGCUGACUACAUCAAGCUGGGCUACUGUAAUGUGUUCUCUGGCGACUGCAGUGCCCUCAACUUUGUGCUGCAGCACCGGCGGAAGAGGCUAGGGUUGGACAUGGACAACAACAACAUCAGUGACUAUGGGGUCAAGCAGCUCAGGCCUUCAUUCAGUAAGAUGACCGUGGUGAGAUUGUGUGUCAAUCAGAUCUCAGACAGCAGCGUUGAGGUACUGGCUGAGGAGCUUAUCAAACACAGAGUGGUGGAGGUUCUGGGACUUUACAAUAAUCACAUUACGGACAUUGGAGCCAAGCUAAUCGCUCAUAUCAUUGAGGAAUGUCCUAAGUUAAGAGUCGUCAAGCUUGGCAGCAACAAGUUCACCAGUAUGGGUGGCAAGUAUCUGGCCAGCGCCAUUCAGAAGAGCACAUCUAUCUUUGACGUGGGAAUGUGGGGGAACAGCAUUGGUGAUGAAGGAGCAAGAGCAUUUGCAGAGGCCCUGAGGAAUCACCCAAGUCUUACCAACCUCAGAUGAACGUGGUACCUUCAGGCGUUUGGAAAUUGCUCCCAAGGAUGAACCAGACAUGUGGAGGUCUACAAUUUUUUUCUGAGCCUCUCAGCCAAUGGCAUCGCUUCAGAAGGUGGGAGGAGCUUGGCCGAAGCACUGAAAGGCAACACAAUGCUCAGAAUCUUCUGGUUGGUGCAAAACGAGUUGUCAGAUGAUGUAGCACCAGACCUGGCAGAACUGAUCAGAUCCAACACAGGUCUCUCUCACCUCUGGUUAAUCAAUAAUCAGCUGACAGUGGGUGGAAUCAGACAGCUGUCAGAGGCUCUCUCCCACAACACAUCACUCAAAGAGAUCAGUUUGAAAGGAAACUGUCUUUCUGAAGAGGAAGAGAAGCUGUUUGAGGCGGAGGGAAGGCUACGCUUCCACUGAGUAGACAGAACUGAGCAGACAGAACUGAGCUGGAGAGUGUGUAGAUUGGUCACGUCUCUUACCGAAACUUAGUUCUUUGUGUGUUUUCUUGCAUACUACAUUUUGUAAAUAUUUGAACAUCCUGCAUUAGCUAGUUUAUUCUGGCAUAUGAGUAAAAGUCUUGACCCAUAAAAAUACUUCCUACAGUCAUAUUUGUCCAUAAUGAAUCUCUUUGUAUUUAGGGAUUUGAAACCAGAGGUGGCGUUCUCAGAGAGGAAGUCUUCAAUGUAACUUUUUUACUAGCUCGACUUUAGUUUGAAACAAAUCAACUUAUAAAGGGCAAACUGUUCCUUGUUUAAGCACUUUCAGUUACCCAUGGAACAUCUUAUCAUUAUGCAAAGCAAAUCCAUUGUUUAAAUCCAGCUUCCACCCCCAAGCAAUAAGACUGCUGAAACAAUUAAUCAAAUGGUCACCGGAAUAUUACAUUGACCCCCCCCCCUCUUCUUGAACUGCACUGUUGGUUAAGGGCUUGUAAGUAAGAAUUUCAUGGUAAGGUCUACACUUGUUGUAUUCGGUGCAUGUGACAAAUAAAGUUUGAUUUGAUUUGAAACUGCUUUUGUUGACCAAAGGAAAUACUUUACUGAUGCUGAAUUGCAGUAUUGAAUUUCUCCUGCACCACAACAACAGAGCACUCUGUAAAUAAACUGAAUUUGAUGUGGCGCCUGCAAUUAACUGGAGGUUAGGCCACUGCUCUCAAACCUCCCUUAUCAUCAACCCUCACCCCUCUGAUUUCUCUGCCUCAUUCCCUUAUUCUUGUAUACUGGCCAGCACUGUAUCUGUAUGACACAUAACAGACAGUCAGUCAUGUUAUGGUCAGUUUGUGGUCAUGGUGACUAAUGAAUAUAGGUUAGCAGGCGAUGAUAGGAACAAACAAAUAGAGGAAGACAGGACAUUACACAACUUCCAUAUACACUACAGGUCAAACGUUUUAGAACAUCUACUCAUUCAAGGGUUUUGUCAAUUGUACCGCAGAUAUGGAACCUAAAUCACAGAGGAUAGAUGUGAUGGCAGCUGCAGAGAAGUACCUGGGUACCC